CUGAACCAGCCAAGUAGCGUGAAGGAUGACUGCCCUAUGGGUUGUAAACUUCUUUUAUAAAGGAAUAAAGUCGGGUAUGUAUACCCGUUUGCAUGUACUUUAUGAAUAAGGAUCGGCUAACUCCGUGCCAGCAGCCGCGGUAAUACGGAGGAUCCGAGCGUUAUCCGGAUUUAUUGGGUUUAAAGGGAGCGUAGAUGGAUGUUUAAGUCAGUUGUGAGAGUUUGCGG
rnacentral:rRNA from 1 species